AUACAUUUAAAGGAUUCCUUUGCCACUUUAGCAGUCAUGACUCUGCCCCAAGGAAUCCUGGGAGCUGCAGUUCAUUGAUGGGGAUGAAAGUUGUUAGGAGAUUCCCUCUUCCUCUCACAGAGCUACAUCCCCAGAGCUUCCUGGGAUUGAUUGUUAAACCAGUCUCACAAUAGUAGCUCUGUGAGAGGAAUAGGGGUCGCCUAACAACUCUCAGCACCCUUAGCAAACUACAGUUCCCAGGAUUCUUUGGGAGAAGCUGUGACUGUGCUCUAAGAGCGCUUUAGAUGCAU